rnacentral:rRNA from 1 species
GUCUACAGCCAUGCUAUCCUGUACAAGCUGGAUCCCAUCUGAUCUUGGAAUCUAAGCAGGAUUGGGCUUGGUUAGUACUUGAAUGGGAGACCACCUAGGAAGACCAGGUGCUGUAGGGG